rnacentral:misc_RNA from 1 species
CGCCAUUUUUCUGGAUAGAGGAAUAAACAAACGUGUACACUUAAUAUAACGACUGAUGUACACACCUUCUCUAUGGAGAAAUUAAAGUUAUACAACAAUCUAAAACUUCAAUUUACACGAUUAGGAAUUAGGUCAAAAAUUUCAAACCAGCAGAAAAAUACAAACUCUCCUCUUAAGAUGCUGCUUGUUUCCUUCGUUUUAUUCUUUCUAGCGCGCCAAGAGGGCCAUCACUAUCUUUAUUCUUGGCAGUAGAGUUGUCUUCUGCUUCAUCACCUUCGUCCCUCUUACGGAUUAGACCUCCAAACACUGCAUCAGGGACUUCUUUCAGUGCAAUUUCAACCUUAUCAUCAUCCUCUUCAGAAUCACUUUCCUCAGGUAGCUCGAUAUCCUCAUUGUUUGCAGUGACUUUCUGUCCAUUUGACUCAACUACUCCUGCACUAACAAAUCCAACUACCCGACUCUCUUCUUUGCUCUUUGUACCAUUUUCAGGGGGCACUAACUGUCUUUCAAGAGCUGCCAUCUCAUCAUCAGCAAUACCGGCUUUUUUCAAAACGUCCUUUGCUUCCUCAAGGGUCUGCAUCUGAUCCUUUUGCAUGAGAUACUCUGGUAGGAUAAAAUGCGUCUGGCUGUAGCUUGCAGAUACACUCCUCUUCACACGGAGCAUCUCGCGGAAGGUAUCCUCAUUACCAUGCUGCACCUCAAACUCAUGCCACUUGUUCCAGAAAUCAGGGUCAGAUCUAGGGUCUGCGAAUUGUGAUGAGUGCUUGUACAGUGCACGAGCACGAUCAAUCUCGCCUAGGCUCUUCUCAAGUUCAGCAUACUUUAAGCACAUAACUUUCACAUCCUUAUCUGGAAGCCCAGACUCAAUUGCUUGUUCAUAUAUCUCCCGUGUUCUUGGAACACCAAAUAUCUCAGCUGCACGAGCUAUAUAGAUCUCGUACAUGCUCAAUUUCUCAUUUGCUGGAACAGCUUUUGUAGCUUGAUCAUAAACCCUCAUAGCCCGCUUCGCAAGACCAUAGUCUUCCUCUAAUUUAGCAUAUUGAAGAUACAAUGGCUUCACAGCAUCAGCAGGGGUCUGUUCAACAGCAUGCUCAAAUAACUCUCUAGCUCGUUCCAACUUUGACUUCCCAUAUCUCUUAACAAAUUUGGAAAGAUAGGUAACCCAUAUAUCCUUAACAUGUGGGUACUUGAAGAUCUUCACACCCCUCUCGUAAACCUUGAAUGCAUCCUCAAAGUACUUGUGAUCCUCCAGAAGUACUGCAUAAUUUAUUAUAAUCUGUGGUGUAGCAAUUCUCAGAUCCAAAAUUCGCUCAUAGACCACACGAGUUGACUCUAAGCUUCCUAGACUCUCCUCCAAAUCCACAAACAGUAACCAAAGCCUUAGAGAUUUGUGUAGCUUAAUUUGCACUGGUUCAUUUCCAUCAGCAGCAACUCUCCGUUUGACCUCAACAGUUGGUUCAGCAGUGGCACGUCUCAUCAGUUCUAGAGCACCCUUGAAAUUCCUGUGACGUAGUUCCAUCUCGGCCCAUUCACACCAAACACUAGCCAGAUGAUCAACAGUUUUAUAAUUCACCUGCACUGCCUUAUCAAAGAUGACUCUUGCAUUUGCAAUAUCCUUAUGGUUUUCAUAAAGUUUUGCAAAUGCAACCCACAAAGUAUGUGGCUUCCCCACAGCUUUCAUUGGGUCAAUAGUUCUAACUGCCUCAGUGAACGUUAAUAUUUGCUUUGUUGGAUUCCCUUCGAAUAGUUUUACCCUUCUAUGCCACUGCUCUACAUUAUGCGGAUUUUGCCUCAAAAGCACACUAUUCGCAAGCUCUGGCCUCCUAUCCAUAAGAUGUUCUAACCUCGCUAAUCUCAAGUCAAUAUCCUUAUCAUCAUUUAGC